UGGUUGUCGUCAGCUCGUGUCGUGAGAUGUUGGGUUAAGUCCCGCAACGAGCGCAACCCUUAUCUUCAGUAGCCAGCAGGUAAAGCCGGGCACUCUGGAGAGACUGCCGGGGAUAACCCGGAGGAAGGUGGGGAUGACGUCAAAUCAUCAUGCCCCUUAUGAUUUGGGCUACACACGUGCUACAAUGGCGUAAACAGAGGGAAGCGAGCCCGCGAGGGGGAGCAAAUCCCAAAAAUAACGUCCCAGUUCGGAUUGUAGUCUGCAACCCGACUACAUGAAGCUGGAAUCGCUAGUAAUCGCGGAUCAGAAUGCCGCGGUGAAUACGUUCCCGGGUCUUGUACACACCGCCCGUCACACCAUGGGAGUCGGAAAUGCCCGAAGUCUGUGACCUAACCGUAAGGGAGGAGCAGCCGAAGGCAGGUCGGAUGACUGGGGUGAAGUCGUAACAAGGUAGCCGUAUCGGAAGGUGCGGCUGGAUCACCUC
rnacentral:rRNA from 1 species